GAUGAACGCUAGCGGCAGGCUUAAUACAUGCAAGUCGAGGGACAGCACAGGUAGCAAUACUGGGUGGUAACCGGCAAACGGGUGCGGAACACGUACACAACCUUCCUUUAAGUGGGGGAUAGCCCAGAGAAAUUUGGAUUAAUACCCCGUAAUAUAGUUGAAUGGCAUCAUUUGAUUAUUAUAGCUACGGCGCUUAAUGAUGGGUGUGCGGCUGAUUAGAUAGUUGGCGGGGUAACGGCCCACCAAGUCUACGAUCAGUAGCUGAUGUGAGAGCAUGAUAGGCAACACGGGCACUGAGACCCGGGCCCGACUCCUACGGGAGGCAGCAGUAAGGAAUAUUGGUCAAUGGACGCAAGUUUGAACCAGCCAUGCCGCGUGAAGGAUUAAGGUCCUCUGGAUUGUAAACUUCUUUUAUUUGGGACGAAAAAGGGCCUUUCUAGGUCAACUGACGGUACCAGAUGAAUAAGCACCGGCUAACUCCGUGCCAGCAGCCGCCGUAACAC
rnacentral:rRNA from 1 species